GCACGAGAUUAAGCAAUAACAGGUCUGUGAUUCCCUUAGUUGUUCUGGGCUGCACGCGCGCUACACUGAAGGAAUCAGCGUGUGUACCCUGGCCGAAAGGACCGGGUAACCCGCUGAACCUCCUUCGUGCUAGGGAUUGGGUCUUGCAAUUGUUCCCCAUGAACGAGGAGUUCCCAGUAAGCGCGAGUUCAUAAGCUCGCGUUGAUUACGUAACUGCCCUUUGUACACACCGCCCGUCGCUACUACCGAUUGAAUGAUUUAGUGAGGUCUUCGGACUGGUGCGCGGCAAUGCGUCGGCAUUGCCGAUGUUACCGGGAUGAUGACGAAACUAUAUCAUUUAGAGGAAGUAAAAGUCGUAACAAGGUUUCCGUAGGUGAACCUGCGGAAGGA
rnacentral:ncRNA from 1 species